CAUCCCUGGGUGGGCUCGAACCACCAACCUUUCGGCUAACAGCCGAACGGGCUAACCGAUUGCGCCACAGAGAC
rnacentral:tRNA from 1 species